rnacentral:rRNA from 1 species
AAGGUGAAAAGCACCCCGGAAGGGGAGUGAAAAAGAACCUGAAACAGUGUGCCUACAACUAGUUGGAGCCCGUUAAUGGGUGACAGCGUGCCUUUUGUAGAAUGAACCGGCGAGUUACGAUCACGUGCAAGGUUAAGCUGAGAAGGCGGAGCCGCAGCGAAAGCGAGUCUGGAGAUGGCGAAAUAGUUCGUGGUCUUAUACCCGAAACCAGGUGAUCUACCGAUGUCCGGUGU